rnacentral:rRNA from 1 species
UACGGGGGGGGCAAGCGUUGUUCGGAAUUACUGGGCGUAAAGGGCGCGUAGGCUGCUCGCUAAGUCGGGUGUGAAAACUCUGGGCUCAACCCAGAGCCUGCAUUCGAAACUGACGAGCUAGAGUUCUGGAGGGGAAAGCGGAAUUCCUGGUGUAGCGGUGAAAUGCGUAGAUAUCAGGAGGAACACCGGUGGCGAAGGCGGCUUUCUGGACAGAAACUGACGCUGAGGCGCGAAAGCUAGGGGAGCAAACAGG